UACGGUCAAAUCACCUUUUGAAAAACUGAUUCUCAUACAACCAUCGAUUUUAAGCAACGUCGAGCCAUGUCAGUACUUAGAUGGGUGACCGUUUGGGAGGACCGGGUGCUGUAUG